UACGUAGGGGGGCAAGCGUUGUCCGGAAUCAUUGGGCGUAAAGCGCGUGUAGGCGGUUCGAUAAGUCUGCUGUGAAAGUCCAGGGCUCAACCCUGGGAUGCCGGUGGAUACUGUCGAACUAGAGUACGGAAGAGGCGAGUGGAAUUCCCGGUGUAGCGGUGAAAUGCGCAGAUAUCGGGAGGAACACCAAUUGCGAAGGCAGCUCGCUGGGACGUCACUGACGCUGAGACGCGAAAGCGUGGGGAGCAAACAGG
rnacentral:rRNA from 1 species